AUGGUGAUCUCCCUCGCGCAGUACGAGCGCCACCUCAGCCUCCAGCGCCACAAGAUCAUCGGUAUUGAUCUCGAGUGCACCGUCUUCGACAACUUCGUCACCGACCCCAGGUACACCUUUGCAGGCUUCUCCAUCAACGGCGACCAAACCAGGCUAGAGCGCAUCAAUCUGGAGGUCGCCAACUUCGUCGACAUCCAGAAGGAGUGGAGGGUGCCCGAGGCAACCAUGGAGUUGGACUCCCUCGGAGACGUCUCCGACAUGCUCAUCGACGACUACUACAACAACAUGAAGAAGAAGAUCACCGACGACGAACACAGGCGCUGGGCCACCCUCCCUCUGUCCAUGAGGCACAUCGAGUAUGCGGCAAAGGACGCCUACGCAACAUACGAGAUAUGGAACCGCAUCACCCUCACCUAG
rnacentral:rRNA from 1 species